rnacentral:rRNA from 1 species
AUUGAACGCUGGCGGCAUGCUUUACACAUGCAAGUCGAACGGUAACAGGGAGCUUGCUCCGCUGACGAGUGGCGAACGGGUGAGUAAUGCGUCGGAACGUGCCGAGUAGUGGGGGAUAACGCAUCGAAAGGUGUGCUAAUACCGCAUACGUACUGAGGUAGAAAGUGGGGGACCUUCGGGCCUCACGCUAUUCGAGCGGCCGACGUCUGAUUAGCUAGUUGGUGAGGUAAAGGCUUACCAAGGCGACAAUCAGUAGCGGGUCUGAGAGGAUGAUCCGCAAAAAUGGGACUGAGACACGGCCCAGACUCCUACGGGAGGCAGCAGUGGGGAAUUUUGGACAAUGGGCGCAAGCCUGAUCCAGCCAUGCCGCGUGUCUGAAGAAGGCCUUCGGGUUGUAAAGGACUUUUGUCCGGGAGCAAAUGCCUGGUGUUAAUAGCACUGGGAGCUGAGAGUACCGGAAGAAUAAGCACCGGCUAACUACGUGCCAGCAGCCGCGGUAACAC